CAGUCGCCGCGGUAAAACGGAGGGAGCUAGCGUUAUUCGGAAUUACUGGGCGUAAAGCGCACGUAGGCGGCUUUGUAAGUUAGAGGUGAAAGCCUGGAGCUCAACUCCAGAAUUGCCUUUAAGACUGCAUCGCUCGAAUCCAGGAGAGGUGAGUGGAAUUCCGAGUGUAGAGGUGAAAUUCGUAGAUAUUCGGAAGAACACCAGUGGCGAAGGCGGCUCACUGGACUGGUAUUGACGCUGAGGUGCGAAAGCGUGGGGAGCAAACAGGAUUAGAUACCCCUGUAGUCCCUGUCUCUUAUAC
rnacentral:rRNA from 1 species